GAUGAACGCUAGCGAUAGGCUUAACACAUGCAAGUCGAGGGGCAGCACAAGGUAGCUUGCUAUCUGGGUGGCGACCGGCGCACGGGUGCGUAACGCGUAUGCAACUUGCCCUAUACAGGAGGAUAACCCGUCGAAAGACGGACUAAUACUGCGUAUGCUCACAACUUGGCAUCACGUGGUGAGGAAAGAAAUUCGGUAUAUGAUAGGCAUGCGUCCCAUUAGCUUGUUGGUGAGGUAACGGCUCACCAAGGCAACGAUGGGUAGGGGAACUGAGAGGUUUAUCCCCCACACUGGUACUGAGACACGGACCAGACUCCUACGGGAGGCAGCAGUGAGGAAUAUUGGUCAAUGGGCGCGAGCCUGAACCAGCCAAGUCGCGUGAAGGAUGACUGUCUUAUGGAUUGUAAACUUCUUUUAUACGGGAAUAACAAGAGUCACGUGUGACUCCAUGCAUGUACCGUAUGAAUAAGCAUCGGCUAACUCCGUG
rnacentral:rRNA from 1 species